ACGGGUGAGUAACACGUGAGCAACCUGCCCCUGACUCUGGGAUAAGCGCUGGAAACGGCGUCUAAUACUGGAUAUGUGACGUGACCGCAUGGUCUGCGUCUGGAAAGAAUUUCGGUUGGGGAUGGGCUCGCGGCCUAUCAGCUUGUUGGUGAGGUAAUGGCUCACCAAGGCGUCGACGGGUAGCCGGCCUGAGAGGGUGACCGGCCACACUGGGACUGAGACACGGCCCAGACUCCUACGGGAGGCAGCAGUGGGGAAUAUUGCACAAUGGGCGCAAGCCUGAUGCAGCAACGCCGCGUGAGGGACGACGGCCUUCGGGUUGUAAACCUCUUUUAGCAGGGAAGAAGCGAAAGUGACGGUACCUGCAGAAAAAGCGCCGGCUAACUACGUGCCAGCAGCCGCGGUAAUACGUAGGGCGCAAGCGUUAUCCGGAAUUAUUGGGCGUAAAGAGCUCGUAGGCGGUUUGUCGCGUCUGCUGUGAAAUCCGGAGGCUCAACCUCCGGCCUGCAGUGGGUACGGGCAGACUAGAGUGCGGUAGGGGAGAUUGGAAUUCCUGGUGUAGCGGUGGAAUGCGCAGAUAUCAGGAGGAACACCGAUGGCGAAGGCAGAUCUCUGGGCCGUAACUGACGC
rnacentral:rRNA from 1 species